AGUACCCUGUGGCGGGUGCGAACCCCCGCCCGGCAGUGGCGGGGGCUGCUCCCAGCUUCUGGCUGUCGCGGACCUGCCGCCUCCUCCUACUCCGCAUCCGCCGAGCCUGCCCGGGUCCGGGCGCUUGUCUAUGGGCACCACGGGGAUCCAGCCAAGGUCGUCGAACUCAAGAACCUGGAGCUAGCUGCUGUGGGAGGAUCAGAUGUCCGUGUGAAGAUGCUGGCGGCCCCUAUCAAUCCAUCUGACAUAAAUAUGAUCCAAGGAAACUACGGACUCCUUCCUGAACUGCCUGCUGUUGGAGGGAACGAAGGUGUUGCACAGGUGGUAGCGGUGGGCAGCAAUGUGACCGGGCUGAAGCCAGGAGACUGGGUGAUUCCAGCAAAUGCUGGUUUAGGAACCUGGCGGACCGAGGCUGUGUUCAGCGAGGAAGCACUGAUCCAAGUUCCGAGUGACAUCCCUCUUCAGAGCGCUGCCACCCUGGGUGUCAAUCCCUGCACAGCCUACAGGAUGUUGAUGGACUUCGAGCAACUGCAGCCAGACCUGAUAUCCAGAAGCUGAGUGACAGACUGAAGAGUCUGGGGGCUGAGCAUGUCAUCACAGAAGAGGAGCUAAGAAGGCCCAAAAUGAAAAACUUCUUUAAGGACAUGCCCCAGCCACGGCUUGCUCUCAACUGUGUUGGUGGGAAAAGCUCCACAGAGCUGCUGCGGCAGUUAGCGCGUGGAGGAACCAUGGUAACCUAUGGGGGGAUGGCCAAGCAGCCCGUCGUAGCCUCUGUGGUAAGCCGGGUGCGGAGGGAGGCAUGCCUGGAGCCGGGCCGGACACCUCGGCCAGG
rnacentral:sRNA from 1 species